rnacentral:rRNA from 1 species
UGGGGAAUCUUGGACAAUGGGGGCAACCCUGAUCCAGCCAUGCCGCGUGAGUGAUGAAGGCCUUAGGGUCGUAAAGCUCUUUCGCCUGUGAAGAUAAUGACGGUAGCAGGUAAAGAAACCCCGGCUAACUCCGUGCCAGCAGCCGCGGUAAUACGGAGGGGGUUAGCGUUGUUCGGAAUUACUGGGCGUAAAGCGCACGUAGGCGGACCAGAAAGUUGGGGGUGAAAUCCCGGGGGCUCAACCCCGGAACUGCCUCCAAAACUAUUGGUCUAGAGUUCGAGAGAGGUGAGUGGAAUUCCAAGUGUAGAGGUGAAAUUCGUAGAUAUUUGGAGGAACACCAGUGGCGAAGGCGGCUCACUGGCUCGAUACUGACGCUGAGGUGCGAAAGUGUGGGGAGCAAAACAGGAUUAGAUACCCUGGUAGUCCACACCGUAAAACGAUGAAUGCCAGUCGUCGGGUAGCAUGCUAUUCGGUGACACACCUAACGGAUUAAGCAUUCCGCCUGGGGAGUACGU